CAAGUCACUUGUCUACCAUUAGU
rnacentral:miRNA from 1 species